AUUGAACGCUGGCGGCAGGCCUAACACAUGCAAGUCGAGCGGAUGAAGGGAGCUUGCUCCUGGAUUCAGCGGCAGACGGGUGAGUAAUGCCUAGGAAUCUGCCUGGUAGUGGGGGAUAACGUCCGGAAACGGGCGCUAAUACCGCAUACGUCCUGAGGGAGAAAGUGGGGGAUCUUCGGACCUCACGCUAUCAGAUGAGCCUAGGUCGGAUUAGCUAGUUGGUGGGGUAAAGGCCUACCAAGGCGACGAUCCGUAACUGGUCUGAGAGGAUGAUCAGUCACACUGGAACUGAGACACGGUCCAGACUCCUACGGGAGGCAGCAGUGGGGAAUAUUGGACAAUGGGCGAAAGCCUGAUCCAGCCAUGCCGCGUGUGUGAAGAAGGUCUUCGGAUUGUAAAGCACUUUAAGUUGGGAGGAAGGGCAGUAAGUUAAUACCUUGCUGUUUUGACGUUACCAACAGAAUAAGCACCGGCUAACUUCGU
rnacentral:rRNA from 1 species